rnacentral:rRNA from 1 species
UACAGAGGUGGCAAGCGUUGUUCGGAAUUACUGGGCGUAAAGGGCGCGUAGGCGGCCCCUCUAAGUCCCGUGUGAAAGCCCCCGGCUCAACCGGGGAACUGCACGGGAAACUGGAAGGCUUGAGUUCGGGAGAGGGAAGCGGAAUUCCGGGUGUAGCGGUGAAAUGCGUAGAUAUCCGGAGGAACACCGGUGGCGAAGGCGGCUUCCUGGACCGACACUGACGCUGAUGCGCGAAAGCUAGGGGAGCAAACGGG